UACGAAGGGUGCAAGCGUUGUCCGGAAUCAUUGGGCGUAAAGAGCGCGUAGGCGGCCCGAUAAGUCCGCUGUGAAAGUCAAGGGCUCAACCCUUGAAUGCCGGUGGAUACUGUCGGGCUAGAGUCCGGAAGAGGCGAGUGGAAUUCCUGGUGUAGCGGUGAAAUGCGCAGAUAUCAGGAGGAACACCAAUGGCGAAGGCAGCUCGCUGGGACGGUACUGACGCUGAGGCGCGAAAGCUAGGGGAGCAAACAGG
rnacentral:rRNA from 1 species